rnacentral:rRNA from 1 species
CCCUAAAAAAUACGUCUCAGUUCAGAUUGCAGGCUGCAACCCGCCUGCAUGAAGUCGGAAUUGCUAGUAAUCGCGGAUCAGCAUGCCGCGGUGAAUACGUUCCCGGGCCUUGUACACACCGCCCGUCACACCAUGGGAGCCGGUAAUACCCGAAGUCAGUAGUCCAACCUCGUGAGGACGCUGCCGAAGGUAGGAUUGGCGACUGGGGUGAAGUCGUAACAAGGUAAC